AUUGAACGCUGGCGGCAUGCCUUACACAUGCAAGUCGAACGGUAACAGGGAAAAGCUUGCUUUUCUGCUGACGAGUGGCGAACGGGUGAGUAAUACAUCGGAACGUGCCCUGUAGUGGGGGAUAACUACUCGAAAGAGUGGCUAAUACCGCAUACAACCUGAGGGUAAAAGUGGGGGACCGCAAGGCCUCACGCUAUAGGAGCGGCCGAUGGAAGAUUAGGUAGUUGGUAGGGUAAAGGCCUACCAAGCCGACGAUCUUUAGCGGGUCUGAGAGGACGAUCCGCCACACUGGGACUGAGACACGGCCCAGACUCCUACGGGAGGCAGCAGUGGGGAAUUUUGGACAAUGGGGGCAACCCUGAUCCAGCAAUGCCGCGUGAGUGAA
rnacentral:rRNA from 1 species